UACGUAGGGUGCAAGCGUUGUCCGGAAUUAUUGGGCGUAAAGAGCUCGUAGGCGGUUCGUCACGUCGGCUGUGAAAACCUGAGGCUCAACCUCAGGCCUGCAGUCGAUACGGGCGGACUCGAGUUCGGCAGGGGAGACUGGAAUUCCUGGUGUAGCGGUGAAAUGCGCAGAUAUCAGGAGGAACACCGGUGGCGAAGGCGGGUCUCUGGGCCGAUACUGACGCUGAGGAGCGAAAGCGUGGGGAGCGAACAGG
rnacentral:rRNA from 1 species